UGAUCUAACACUGUCAUCUGAGGAAGAGGAUAGAAAAUUUACAGAAAAAGAGAAGGAAAAGCCAAGUGAUGACAGCAGCAAAGAUGUUCUUUCAAGUCAGCCAGAUGGAGUUGGUCAGCAAGAAACACCUCCUGACAGCAACAGUGACGAUAGCCCAUCAGCAUCUAAGAAAGCACCUGGAAGCAAACUGUCUGCUUCAGCACCUCCAUUCAAUCCAGGAUCACUCUUAUCAAUGUCACACCCGUACAGCACAGUGGCAAUAUAUGAUGCCAGUGCUGUUCUUCAGGCAAUGCCAAGCCAAGCAAUGGAGAUUCUCCCUCAUGCCAUUGAUA
rnacentral:lncRNA from 1 species